AUUGAACGCUGGCGGCAGGCUUAACACAUGCAAGUCGAGCGGGGACUUCGGUCCUAGCGGCGAACGGGUGAGGAAUGCUUGGGAAUCUGCCCAGUAGCGGGGGAUAACGUUUCGAAAGGAACGCUAAUACCGCAUACGCCCUACGGGGGAAAGGGGGGGAUCUUCGGACCUCUCACUAUUGGAUGAGCCCAAGUCGGAUUAGCUAGUUGGUGAGGUAAAGGCUCACCAAGGCGACGAUCCGUAGCUGGUCUGAGAGGAUGAUCAGCCACACUGGGACUGAGACACGGUCCAGACUCCUACGGGAGGCAGCAGUGGGGAAUAUUGGACAAUGGGCGAAAGCCUGAUCCAGCCAUGCCGCGUGUGUGAAGAAGGCCUUCGGGUUGUAAAGCACUUUAAGCGAGGAGGAAUGGCUCCGGGUUAAUACCCUUGAGCAUAGACGUUACUCGCAGAAUAAGCACCGGCUAACUCUGUGCCAGCCGCCGCCGUAA
rnacentral:rRNA from 1 species